GAUGAAUGCUAGCGGCGUGGAUAAGGCAUGCAAGUCGGAGUGGGUUUAGACCCACGGCAAACGAGGUAGUAAUACGCAGGUACUCACCGAAAAGUCGAGCAUAUACCGUCGAAAGGCGGAGCAAAUUCUCGAUAGUCCCUCCGGGUAAAGGAGCAAUCCGCUUUUUGAGAGGCCUGUGGCGCAUCAGGGUAGUUGGUAGGGUAAUGGCCUACCAAGCCUACGACGCGUAGGGGAGCUGAGAGGCUGACCCCCACCGAUGGAACGGAGACACGGUCCAUACACCUACGGGUGGCUGCAGUCGAGAAUAUUUUGGGCAAUGGGGCGCAAGCCUGACCAUGCGACGCCGCGUGGUUGAUGAAGUCCUU
rnacentral:rRNA from 1 species